rnacentral:rRNA from 1 species
AACAAACGCUGGCGGCGUGCCUAACACAUGCAAGUUGUACGAGAAAAUUCGCUUCGGCGAGUAAGUAAAGUGGCGCACGGGUGAGUAACGCGUGGAUAAUCUACCCUUUAGCUGGGGAUAACUCAUCGAAAGGUGGGCUAAUACCCGAUAAUACUGCUUCUACUGCGGUUGAGCAGUCAAAGGUAGCCUCUGUUUACAAGCUUCCACUGAAGGAUGAGUCCGCGUACCAUUAGCUAGUUGGUAGGGUAAUGGACUACCAAGGCGACGAUGGUUAGCUGGUAUGAGAGGAUGAUCAGCCACACUGGAACUGAGACACGGUCCAGACUCCUACGGGAGGCAGCAGUGAGGAAUCUUGCGCAAUGGGGGAAACCCUGACGCAGCAACGCCGGGUGCGUGAGGAAGGUUUUCGGAUCGUAAAGCUCUGUCAGGUGGGAAGAAAUGUAUAGGGGUUAACAGCCCUUAUUCUUGACGGUACCACCAGAGGAAGCACCGGCCAACUCCGUGCCAGCCGCCGCCGUAAUAC